rnacentral:tRNA from 1 species
GCAUUGUUGGUUCAGUGGUAGCAUACUUGCUUUCCAAGCCGGAGACCUCGGUUUGAUUCCCAGCCAAUGCG